UACAUGGGGUGCAAACGUUGCUCGGAAUUAUUGGGCGUAAAGCGCACGUAGGUGGUCUGUUAUGUCAGAUGUGAAAGCCCUCGGCUUAACUGAGGAAGUGCACCUGAAACUGGCAGGCUUGAGUACGAAAGAGGUCGCGGAAUUCCCGGUGUAGAGGUGAAAUGCGUAGAUAUCGGGAGGAACACCAGUGGCGAAGGCGACUUCCUGGCCUGUUCUUGACGCUG
rnacentral:rRNA from 1 species